GUCUACGGUCAUACCACCCUAAAUGCCCCUGAUCUCAUCUGAUCUCGGAAGCUAAGCAGGUCAGGCCUGGUUAGUACUUGGAUGGGAGAAGUUGAAAGACUUCCUAAACAGGAAUCCAGUAGGAAAUUGUGGGAU
rnacentral:rRNA from 1 species